rnacentral:rRNA from 1 species
UACGAAGGGGGCUAGCGUUGCUCGGAAUUACUGGGCGUAAAGGGCGCGUAGGCGGACGUUUAAGUCGGGGGUGAAAGCCCGGGGCUCAACCUCGGAAUUGCCUUCGAUACUGGACGUCUUGAGUACGGGAGAGGUGAGUGGAACUCCGAGUGUAGAGGUGAAAUUCGUAGAUAUUCGGAAGAACACCAGUGGCGAAGGCGACUCACUGGCCCGUUACUGACGCUGAGGCACGAAAGCGUGGGGAGCAAACAGG